rnacentral:misc_RNA from 1 species
AACUUUUAGCAAUGGAUCACUUGGCUGUCGCAUCGAUGAAGAACGCAGCGAAAUGCGAUAAGUAAUGUGAAUUGCAGAAUUCAGUGCAUCAUCGAAUCUUUGAACGCACCUUGCGCCCUUUGGCUAUUCCGAAGGGCAUGCCUGUUUGAGUAUCAUGAACACCUCAACUCUCAUGGUUUGCCAUGAUGAGCUUGGACUUUGGGGGUCUUGCUGGCCUAUGGACAGCUCCUCUCAAACGAAUCAGCUUGCCAGUGUUUGGUGGCAUCACAGGUGUGAUAACUAUCUACGCUUGUGGUUUUCCACCAGGUAACCUUCAGUGAUGGAGGUUCGCUGGAGCUCAUAAACGUCUCUCCUCUGCGAGGACAACUUUUUGAACGUUUGAUCUCAAAUCAGGGAGGACUACCCGCUGAACUUAAGCAUAUCAAUAAGCGGAGCC